AAUAGGAUCACAUUUCCCCUGGGACCUUGACAUAAUCCAAGGACCUGUUCCUUUUGUUGACUGGUCCAGCAUUGCUGAACCGCUUUGGCAAUUUGCAGUGGAUCACCAGCUGGAUGCUUGGCCAGGCUGCUCCUCUUCAUGCUGAUGCCCAUCCGAACACUAUAAGGCAGCCUUGAAAAUGCCAAGGCUGCUUACAGCCCUGUUGAUAUGGGCUAUAUACGUGUUCACAAACACAACAGUUUUGGUUUAAGUGAAAAUUCUUAUACAACUGGUUCCCAGUGACCACUAUUCCUAAAUACAUGAAAUGUCAUAAGGUUUAUCAAAAAAACUGAGUUAGAUACAUCUUGCAUACCUAUGCUGUUCAAGUUUAGUAUGUUAUUCCUAAUCCUAUACAGGAGUUUAAAAAAAAAGAGCCAGUUAACACUUGAUAUUUAGUUUAAUUUUAUUCCUUCUAGAACAAGAAAAUACUCAGUGAAGGUUUUUUCCUCAUAUGAGCACAGUCAGUGAAAGGCAAUGCCUGCCCAGGGCAAGGAACUGUGGUGUAAUGCACCAGUCCCUUUUUGGGUCUCUCCUGGGGUGAGAAUUACCACUCUCUCCCGGACUUCAGCAUCCAGCUGGAGUGAAAAGUCUCCAGUAUUCCCUCUGCGCCCACCAGCAUGCGGACAAUAUCAUCCAUCAUCUGUGAGAUCUCUGCUUUCCUUUUCCUCCUCGGAUCCCUGCAGUGAUGCCAUUUUGAGGGGCGCUGAGUGGAAAGAGCAGAGACCCAAGCAAGCCCUGGCUACCAGGAUGGGCUGCCCACUUCUGGGCAAAUCCUCAGAGAAAGACCCCUGUAGAAAUAUCACCAGUGGAAGCAGUGUUUGCUCGUUACUUUGUGGGAGACUAU